rnacentral:rRNA from 1 species
GACGAACGCUGGCGGCGUGCCUAAUACAUGCAAGUCGAGCGAAGUUUUUCUGGUGCUUGCACUAGAAAAACUCAGCGGCGCACGGGUGAGUAACACGUAAAGAACCUGCCUCAUAGACUGGGACAACUAUUGGAAACGAUAGCUAAUACCGGAUAACAGUAUUUCUCGCAUGAGAGAUAUUUAAAAGUUGGUUAUGCUAACACUAUGAGAUGGCUUUGCGGUGCAUUAGCUAGUUGGUGGGGUAAAGGCCCACCAAGGCGACGAUGCAUAGCCGACCUGAGAGGGUGAUCGGCCACACUGGGACUGAGACACGGCCCAGACUCCUACGGGAGGCAGCAGUAGGGAAUCUUCCGCAAUGGGCGAAAGCCUGACGGAGCAACGCCGCGUGAGUGAAGAAGGAUUUCGGUUCGUAAAGCUCUGUUGUUAGGGAAGAAUGGAUAUGUAGUAACUAUACAUGUAAGAGACGGUACCUAGCCAGAAAGCCACGGCUAACUACGUG